GACGAACGCUGGCGGCGUGCCUAAUACAUGCAAGUCGAGCGCAGGAAGCUGACGGAACUCUUCGGAGAGAAGGCAGUGGAAUGAGCGGCGGACGGGUGAGUAACACGUAAGGAACCUGCCUCAAGGAUUGGGAUAACUCCGAGAAAUCGGAGCUAAUACCGGAUAGUUCAACGGACCGCAUGGUCCGCUGAUGAAAGGCGCUUCGGCGUCACCUUGAGAUGGCCUUGCGGUGCAUUAGCUAGUUGGUGGGGUAACGGCCCACCAAGGCGACGAUGCAUAGCCGACCUGAGAGGGUGAUCGGCCACACUGGGACUGAGACACGGCCCAGACUCCUACGGGAGGCAGCAGUAGGGAAUCUUCCACAAUGGACGAAAGCCUGAUGGAGCAACGCCGCGUGAGUGAUGAAGGUUUUCGGAUCGUAAAACUCUGUUGUAAGGGAAGAACACGUACGAGAGGGAAUGCUCAUACCUUGACGGUACCUUACGAGAAAGCCACGGCUAACUACGUGCCAGCCGCCGCCGUAAUAC
rnacentral:rRNA from 1 species